UUAACAUGACACCUCUGAUUCCAAACCAGCCCCAUUACAAUGUCAAUAUGACGGCAGUUCAAGUUGGUCAUGAUCUCCUAGAUCUUCCAAUUGAAGUGUUUGAGGCUGGAGAUCGGAAGGGAGCAAUAAUUGAUAGCGGUACAACCUUGGCCUAUCUCCCAGAAAUGGUUUAUGAACCACUAGUGAGCAAGAUAAUAUCUCAGCAACCUGACUUGAAAGUUCAUACCGUGCGUGAUGAAUAUACAUGUUUUCAGUAUUCUGGGAG
rnacentral:misc_RNA from 1 species